rnacentral:rRNA from 1 species
CCGAGAAUAUUGGACAAUGGGCGAAAGCCUGAUCCAGCGACGUUGCGUGUAGGAUGAAGACGUUCGCGCCGUAAACUACUUUUCUGAGGGAAGAAGUUAUUGACGGUACCUCAGGAAUAAGCGGGGGCUAAUUCUGUGCCAGCAGCAGCGGUAAUACAGAACCCGCAAGCAUUAUCCGGAUUUAUUGGGCGUAAAGUGUUCGUAGGCUGUUGUGUAAGUCCAACAUUAAACUCUUCGGGCUUAACCUGGAGACUGUGGUGGAUACUGCACAACUAGAAGGCGCUAGGGGCUGUCGGAACGCACGGUGUAGGGGUGAAAUCCGUUGAUAUCGUGCGGAACAUCAAAAGCGAAGGCAGACAGCUGGGGCGACCUUGACGCUGAGGAACGAAAGCGUGGGGAG